AGAUAGAGCAUCUAGAACCAAUCAUCCAGAUUAAGUGAUGCUGCAGUUGAAAACCAGCAUUGCAAAUUCUUUUCGAUAUGGGAGAAGCUUUAUGUGGCUUGCAAUAUCCAUCCCAAUUGCCUUUAAAUUUAUAUUUAGCCUUAACAAAUUGAGCCCAAAGUGAGGUGGGAUGUAUGAUAAGAUUGACAGCAAUUUUGCCCAUAAGAGACUAUUGCUUG
rnacentral:lncRNA from 1 species